CCUACGGGAGGCAGCAGUGGGGAAUAUUGGACAAUGGGGGCAACCCUGAUCCAGCCAUGCCGCGUGUGUGAAGAAGGCUUUCGGGUUGUAAAGCACUUUCAGUGGGGAGGAAAACCUGGCGAUUAAUACUCGUCAGGCUUGACGUUACCCACAGAAGAAGCACCGGCUAACUCCGUGCCAGCAGCCGCGGUAAU
rnacentral:rRNA from 1 species